GAGGAUCUAGCUCAGUGGUAGAGUGCAUGCUUAGCAUGCACGAGGUCCUGGGUUCAAACCCCAGUACCUCCA
rnacentral:tRNA from 1 species